rnacentral:rRNA from 1 species
UGGGGAAUUUUGCGCAAUGGGGGAAACCCUGACGCAGCAACGCCGCGUGAGUGAUGAAGGCCUUCGGGUCGUAAAGCUCUGUCAGAGGGGAAGAAAUGCAGGGGUGCUAAUAUCAUCUUUGCUUGACGGUACCCUCAAAGGAAGCACCGGCUAACUCCGUGCCAGCAGCCGCGGUAAUACGGAGGGUGCGAGCGUUGUUCGGAAUUAUUGGGCGUAAAGCGCGUGUAGGCGGUUUGGUAAGUCUGAUGUGAAAGCCCCGGGCUCAACCUGGGAAGGGCAAUUGAAACCGGUAGAACUGGAAACGGGAGGGGGUAGGGGAAUUUCUAGUGGAGGAGGGAAAUCCGGAGAUAAUAGGAGGAACACCGGUGGCGGAGGCGGGUACCUGGACCGAUAUUGACGGUGAGACGCGAAAGCGUGGGGAGCAAACAG